rfam:Myotis brandtii contig205151, whole genome shotgun sequence.
GGUGGUUCUCAGGUGACACACCCUGGAAUCGGGCUCCCUCCUCUCUGGUUCUGGGGUGCAUCAUCCAAGAACUGCC